rnacentral:rRNA from 1 species
AUUACCUACGGGGGGCAGCAGUGAGGAAUAUUGGUCAAUGGGCGGAAGCCUGACCCAGCGACGCCGCGUGAGGGAAGACGGUCUUCGGAUUGUAAACCUCUUUCAGCAGGGAAGACAAAAGGACGGUACCUGCAGAAGAAGCCACGGCUAACUACGUGCCAGCAGCCGCGGUAAUACGUAGGUGGCAAGCGUUAUCCGGAAUUACUGGGUGUAAAGGGUGUGUAUGCGGGGCUGCAAAGCAGA